CGCGUAGGCGGGGACGCAAGUCAGAUGUGAAAUCUCCGGGCUUAACCCGGAAACUGCAUUUGAAACUGUGUCUCUUGAGUGUCGGAGAGGUAGAUGGAAUUCCUAGUGUAGCGGUGAAAUGCGUAGAUAUUAGGAGGAACACCAGUGGCGAAGGCGAUCUACUGGACGAUAACUGACGCUGAGGCGCGAAAGCGUGGGGAGCAAACA
rnacentral:rRNA from 1 species